UGGAAGUAAAAGUCGUAACAAGGUUUCCGUAGGUGAACCUGCGGAAGGAUCAUUGUCGAAUCCUGCACGGCAGAACGACCCGCGAACAAGUUAUUAACCCAAUGCUGGGGUUGUGCCCAACCGUCCUCGGUCGACGCACGAUCCCAGCACCCACAACGUACCCCCGGCGCGGAAGGCGCCAAGGAACAUGAACAAGAGAGGUAUGAGAACCCCGCACCCCCCAUAGAGGGGAAGUCAGGGCGAUUGUGCCGCCUCAUGAGUUAACAACAAACGACUCUCGGCAACGGAUAUCUCGGCUCUCGCAUCGAUGAAGAACGUAGCGAAAUGCGAUACUUGGUGUGAAUUGCAGAAUCCCGUGAACCAUCGAGUCUUUGAACGCAAGUUGCGCCCGAAGCCAUUCGGCCGAGGGCACGUCUGCCUGGGUGUCACGCAACAUGUCGCCCCCAAGAUCGGAGUUCAAACUCCAAUGGGGUGCGGAAGUUGGCCUCCCGUGGCUUCACGCUGCGGCUGGCCGAAAAGUGAGCGAUGGAGCGGCGUACUCCGCGGCGCGCGGUGGUGCUGAAAAUUGCCCCUCGGGCAUCGAGUCCGGAUCGUCUCUCCAGCAGCGCUCUGCGGCCUUCAUUAAGAACACAUGCGACCCCAGGUCAGGCGGGGCUACCCGCUGAGUUUAAGCAUAUCAAUAAGCGGAGGAA
rnacentral:rRNA from 1 species